rnacentral:rRNA from 1 species
AGCAGCCGCGGUAAUUCCAGCUCCAAUAGCGUAUAUUAAAGUUGUUGCAGUUAAAAAGCUCGUAGUUGAAUUUCGGGAUCAAUACGUCGGUCGUGCUUCGGUACGUACUGGCGUCAUUGAUUUCUCCCUUCUGACGAACCAUGAUGUCAUUAACUUGGUGUCAUGGGAAAUCAGGACUGUUACUUUGAAAAAAUUAGAGUGUUUAAAGCAGGCUCACGCUUGAAUACAUUAGCAUGGAAUAAUGAAAUAGGACGUUCGAACCUAUUUUGUUGGUUUCUAGGAUCAACGUAAUGAUUAAUAGGGAUAGUUGGGGGCAUUAGUAUUCAAUUGUCAGAGGUGAAAUUCUUGGAUUUAUUGAAGACUAACUACUGCGAAAGCAUUUGCCAAGGAUGUUUUCAUUAAUCAAGAACGAAAGUUAGGGGAUCGAAGACGAUCAGAUACCGUCGUAGUCUUAACCAUAAACUAUGCCGACUAGGGAUCGGAUGAUGUUAAUUUUUUAAUGACUCAUUCGGCGCCUUACG